rnacentral:siRNA from 1 species
CUAAACCUUAAGGAUGGACAA